rnacentral:rRNA from 1 species
UACGUAGGGUGCGAGCGUUAAUCGGAAUUACUGGGCGUAAAGCGUGCGCAGGCGGUUCGUUAAGUUCGUUGUGAAAGCCCCGGGCUCAACCUGGGAACUGCAAUGGAAACUGGCGGGCUUGAAUGCGGCAGAGGGGGGUGGAAUUCCGCGUGUAGCAGUGAAAUGCGUAGAGAUGUGGAGGAACACCAGUGGCGAAGGCGACUCUUUGGCCUGUAACUGACGCUGAGGCGCGAAAGCGUGGGGAGCAAACAGG